AUUGAACGCUGGCGGCAGGCCUAACACAUGCAAGUCGAGCGGAGCGGCGGACGGGUGAGUAAUGCCUAGGAAUCUGCCUGGUAGUGGGGUAUAACGUCCGGAAACGGGCGCCAAUACCGCAUACUAUCAGAUGACCCUAGGUCGGAUUAGCUAGUUGGGGGGGUAAAGGCCUACCAAGGCGACGAUCCGUAACUGGUCUGAGAGGAUGACCGGCCACACUGGAACUGAGACACGGCCCAGACUCCUACGGGAGGCAGCAGUGGGGAAUAUUGCGCAAGGGGCGCAAGCCUGAUGCAGCCAUGCCGCGUGUAUGAAGAAGGCCUUCGGGUUGUAAAAUACUGUCAGCGGGGAGGCGUUACCCGAAGAGGAAGCACCGGCUAACUCCGUGCCAGCAGCCGCGGUAAUAC
rnacentral:rRNA from 1 species